UACCAGCACCCCGAGUGGUCGGGACGAUUAUUGGGCCUAAAGCAUCCGUAGCCGGCCUUACAAGUCCUCCGUUAAAUCCAGCUGCUUAACAGAUGGGCUGCGGAGGAUACUAUAAGACUAGGAGGCAGGAGAGGCAAGCGGUACUCAGUGGGUAGGGGUAAAAUCCGUUGAUCCAUUGAAGACCACCAGUGGCGAAGGCGGCUUGCCAGAAUGCGCUCGACGGUGAGGGAUGAAAGCUAGGGGAGCGAAUGGG
rnacentral:rRNA from 1 species